UGGUAAAUAUCUAGUGCAAGUC
rnacentral:miRNA from 1 species